UACGUAGGGGGCAAGCGUUGUCCGGAAUCAUUGGGCGUAAAGAGCGUGUAGGCGGCCUGAUAAGUCGGCUGUGAAAGUCAAGGGCUCAACCCUUGAAUGCCGGCCGAUACUGUCAGGCUAGAGUCCGGAAGAGGCGAGUGGAAUUCCUGGUGUAGCGGUGAAAUGCGCAGAUAUCAGGAGGAACACUAUGGCGAAGGCAGCUCGCUGGGACGGUACUGACGCUGAGACGCGAAAGCGUGGGGAGCGAACAGG
rnacentral:rRNA from 1 species